AGAGUUUGAUCAUGGCUCAGAUUGAACGCUGGCGGCAGGCCUAACACAUGCAAGUCGAGCGGUAACAGAGAUAGCUUGCUAUCUGCUGACGAGCGGCGGACGGGUGAGUAAUGCUUGGGAAUAUGCCUUUAGGUGGGGGACAACAGUUGGAAACGACUGCUAAUACCGCAUGAUGUCUACGGACCAAAGUGGGGGACCUUCGGGCCUCACGCCUAAAGAUUAGCCCAAGUGGGAUUAGCUAGUUGGUUGAGGUAAAGGCUCACCAAGGCAACGAUCCCUAGCUGGUUUGAGAGGAUGAUCAGCCACACUGGAACUGAGACACGGUCCAGACUCCUACGGGAGGCAGCAGUGGGGAAUAUUGCACAAUGGGCGCAAGCCUGAUGCAGCCAUGCCGCGUGUGUGAAGAAGGCCCUAGGGUUGUAAAGCACUUUCAGCGAGGAGGAAAGGUUAUAGUUUAAUAGACUAUAGCUGUGACGUUACUCGCAGAAGAAGCACCGGCUAACUUCGUGCCAGCAGCCGCGGUAAUACGAGGGGUGCAAGCGUUAAUCGGAAUUACUGGGCGUAAAGCGUACGCAGGCGGUUUGUUAAGCGAGAUGUGAAAGCCCCGGGCUCAACCUGGGAACUGCAUUUCGAACUGGCAGACUAGAGUAUGAUAGAGGGUGGUAGAAUUUCAGGUGUAGCGGUGAAAUGCGUAGAGAUCUGAAGGAAUACCGAUGGCGAAGGCAGCCACCUGGGUCAAUACUGACGCUCAUGUACGAAAGCGUGGGGAGCAAACGGGAUUAGAUACCCCGGUAGUCCACGCCGUAAACGAUGUCUACUAGGAGCUGGAAUCUUCGGAUGACUUUUCCAAAGCUAACGCAUUAAGUAGACCGCCUGGGGAGUACGGCCGCAAGGUUAAAACUCAAAUGAAUUGACGGGGGCCCGCACAAGCGGUGGAGCAUGUGGUUUAAUUCGAUGCAACGCGAAGAACCUUACCUACUCUUGACAUCCAGAGAAGCCAGCGGAGACGCAGGUGUGCCUUCGGGAACUCUGAGACAGGUGCUGCAUGGCUGUCGUCAGCUCGUGUUGUGAAAUGUUGGGUUAAG
rnacentral:rRNA from 1 species